CAGCCGCCACGGGAAUACAGAGGGUGCGAGCGUUAAUCGGAUUUACUGGGCGUAAAGCGUGCGUAGGCGGCUUCUUAAGUCGGAUGUGAAAUCCCUGAGCUUAACUUAGGAAUUGCAUUCGAUACUGGGAAGCUAGAGUAUGGGAGAGGAUGGUAGAAUUCCAGGUGUAGCGGUGAAAUGCGUAGAGAUCUGGAGGAAUACCGAUGGCGAAGGCAGCCAUAUGGCCUAAUACUGACGCUGAGGUACGAAAGCAUGGGGAGCAAACAGGAUUAGAUACCCCAGUAGUCCCUGUCUCUUAUAC
rnacentral:rRNA from 1 species